UCCAGUUGGAUGCAAUUGGGCCAAUUUCUUUCUUGGAUCUUGCAUAUAAAAUUUAUGUUAAUGAGGAGAAAAAUAUCACAAGCUUAUUCCAAUUCCAAAAUUAUUGGAAGCAUUUAAGUUCACUUGGAUAUUUUCUCGGAUGGCUUCAUAUGACCGCUAAUAUGGCAGAAAUUCUACAGCUGCAGAAGAAUUCAAGGAUCAGUUGUCUAUUUUGCUGUCGACUUAAUCCACAAUAAGCUUUUCUGCAAGAUUUCUGCGAUUCUUCAUACUUUUCUGCGAGCGA
rnacentral:lncRNA from 1 species